rnacentral:rRNA from 1 species
UGGGGAAUAUUGCGCAAUGGGCGAAAGCCUGACGCAGCAACGCCGCGUGAGUGAAGAAGGCCUUCGGGUUGUAAAGCUCUUUCGGUUGGGAAGAAGGGUAUGCAUGUGAAUAAUGUGUAUAUUUGAUGGUACCAAAAGAAGAAGCACCGGCAAACUUCGUGCCAGCAGCCGCGGUAAUACGAAGGGUGCGAGCGUUGUUCGGAAUUAUUGGACGUAAAGGGUUCGUAGGCGGGAUUGAAAGUCAAGUGUGAAAUCCCCGAGCUUAACUCGGGACGUGCAUUUGAAACUUCAGUUCUUGAGUGAUAGAGAGGGUAAUGGAAUUGUUGGUGUAGGAGUGACAUCCGUAGAGAUCAACAGGAACAUCAGAGGCGAAAGCGGUUACCUGGCUAUAUACUGACGCUGAGGAACGAAAGUGUGGGGAGCAAACAGG